GUUGCCAUGGCAAUAAUCUGCAAUUGUGCAGAAAAUCCACAGAACUCGUGAGCAACUCCUUAGUGGAUUGGGCUGAAAGAAAAUCAAACCCGUGAAAGCCCUGAAUUGAUGUGGUUAUGAAAGCGCAUUGGCCAAGCUGGCUUUCCUUCCUCUGACCCCCAUCUAACUAUGGUGAACGCCCUCGUUCCCACAGGUCUAAGAAAGUCAAGGACUUGAUAUUUACCAUUCAUUGGCUCUACACAAAUGGGGAUCUGCACUCAGAAGCCACAGAAAAAGAAGAAAAUGCAGUUCACCACCUCCCAGCAGUCCUGGUGGUGUAGGAGGAUGCGCCGAGGCCAAUCUUUGAUGGCUGCUGGUUACUUCCUCAUGAGCAGUGUUAGGCUGGGGACAGCAGGCCGGAAAGGAGUGCUUGGAGAGUGUCUUGACCUUCACAGAUGUCUUGCAAAAGGAAUGAUCGAAUGGCACACAUCUGUGAAUAGACAGCCACAUCUCUGCUGCCAGAAUACAGCUGCUGAGGUGUUUGGGGCUUACUUGGAGAAAUGAGGACAUUGAUCUGGGUGAAUGGUAGUAGCUGUACACAUACAAAGUACUGUUCACUUCUUUGCUAAGGUUUUAUGUACACUCUGAGGAUAUCAGAGAAUUCGGAGAAAAUCCAUGGCACAGAUUGGAUGCAUAAUACAUGUACGUACUU
ensembl:lncRNA novel transcript